UAACUUAGAAUUCAAAACUGGCCUAUUCCAGUACACUGUAACACCCAAGUACUGAUUCAUCACAAGGACCACAUCCCCUGUGUCUGAAGGUCACCGAGAUGCGCACCCCAGCCGAGGUCUGAGGCGUCCAACACCAACUUGAUGGAGUGAGGGGUUGUUGAACUAAACCCCUUCCAGGACUAUCCUGGAGUCAGUCCACCAUCGCAGCGAGUAGGCCCAGAGAGCAGCAUGUGGCCUGAAACACCGUGACAUCCCUUUGGACUUCAGACCUGGAGCUGCCCUUGAUGAGCCAGUCGUCAAGGAAGCUGACCAUUUUCAGCAAGUGCCCAAUCGAGAAACACUUAAGCUCACAAUAAACUUCGAGACACCAAUCCACAUCUGAGCUUUCCCAGGAAUGUGGCCUGGCUGGGCCCAGCCAUCGAAGGGCAGGUCUGCUGAGCCAUUGGACAACCCAGAGAGGAGCAGCCAAGAGGCUCGCCGCAUGGAGAUAGCGGAAGCCAUGGUGUUGUGCCCUCAUCAAGGAUAGCUCGGAAAGCCUCGGGGAGCGACCCUUUGAACUUGGCCAUGGCUUGCCACAUAUUGAAGUCAUAUCGGCCAAGGAGGGCUUGGUGGUUGGCCGCCCUCAGCUGAAGGCUGGAAGACGAAUAAACC